AACGUCCAUACCACGUUGAUUGCACCGGUUCUCGUCCGAUGACCGAAGUUAGGCACUGUCAGUUACGGUUAAUACUUGGAUGGGUGACCGCCUGGGAACACCAUGUAAUGU